GCCGCAGACUGGUCACAGUGCCCAUGAUGACCUCUGCCCACCGAUGAAAGUGCCUUCAAUAGAGAUAUGAGUGUCAAAACUGAACCAUGGAAAAAUAGUUUGCCUGGUUUAAUAAAUCAUGUUUUCUUUUAGAUCAGGUGGAUGGCCGGGUGCGUGUGAUUGAGAUGGCAGCAGGAUGCACUAUGCAGGCCGGCAGAGACACUGUUAUGCUUUGGGCAAUGUACUGCUGGGAAACCUUGAGACCUGGCAUUCAUGUGCAUGUUACUUUAAAUUAUUUCACCCACCUAGAGAUUGUUGCAGGCCAUGUACACUCCUUCAUGGCAAUGGUGUUCCCUGAUGUCAGUUUCCUUUUUAAGCAGAAUAGGCAUGCUACCACAUUGCAAAAGUUGUUC